rnacentral:rRNA from 1 species
CACGUAGGGCGCAAGCGUUGUCCGGAAUUAUUGGGCGUAAAGAGCUUGUAGGCGGUUUGUCGCGUCUGCCGUGAAAAUCCGAGGCUCAACCUCGGGCCUGCAGUGGGUACGGGCAGACUAGAGUGCGGUAGGGGAGAUUGGAAUUCCUGGUGUAGCGGUGGAAUGCGCAGAUAUCAGGAGGAACACCAAUGGCGAAGGCAGAUCUCUGGGCCGUAACUGACGCUGAGGAGCGAAAGCAUGGGGAGCGAACAGG